rnacentral:rRNA from 1 species
GCCUACGGGAGGCAGCAGUGAGGAAUAUUGGUCAAUGGCCGAGAGGCUGAACCAGCCAAGUCGCGUGAGGGAAGAAUGUCCUAUGGAUUGUAAACCUCUUUUGUCAGGGAGCAAAGUCACCCACGUGUGGGUGUUGGAGAGUACCUGAAGAAAAAGCAUCGGCUAACUCCGUGCCAGCAGCCGCGGUAAUACGGAGGAUGCGAGCGUUAUCCGGAUUUAUUGGGUUUAAAGGGUGCGCAGGCGGGCCUUUAAGCCGGCGGUGAAAUCGCGGGGCUCAACCCCGCCGAGCCGUCGGGA